UAUCCAGAGGGAGCACUCCGGCGAGCAGC
rnacentral:sRNA from 1 species